GACGAACGCUGGCGGCGUGCUUAACACAUGCAAGUCGAACGGAAAGGCCCUGCUUUUGUGGGGUGCUCGAGUGGCGAACGGGUGAGUAACACGUGAGUAACCUGCCCUUGACUUUGGGAUAACUUCAGGAAACUGGGGCUAAUACCGGAUAGGAGCUCCUGCUGCAUGGUGGGGGUUGGAACGUUUCGGCGGUUGGGGAUGGACUCGCGGCUUAUCAGCUUGUUGGUGGGGUAGUGGCUUACCAAGGCUUUGACGGGUAGCCGGCCUGAGAGGGUGACCGGCCACAGUGGGACUGAGGUACGGCCCAGACGCCUACGGGAGGAAGCAGUGGGGAACAGUGCAAAAUGGGCGGAAGCCGGAUGCAGCAACGCCGCGUGCGGGAUGACGGCCUUCGGGUUGUAAACCGCUUUGGCCUGUGACGAAGCGUGAGUGACGGUAAUGGGUAAAGAAGCACCGGCUAACUACGU
rnacentral:rRNA from 1 species